rnacentral:tRNA from 1 species
GGUUGAAGUGGUGUAAAGAUAAUAACACAUUAGAUUGCAACUCUAAAGUCGUGAGAAACCUCUGCCU